CCCACGCUGGAGCCAUUCAUGAAGAACUGCAGCCCAUGGGAAUGACCCAUGUUGGAGAAGUUUGUGGAGGACUGUAUCCUGUGGGUAGGACCCCACACUGAAGCAGGGGAAGGUUGUCAUGAGUCCUGCCCCUGAAGAGGAUGAAGUGGCAGAGACAACAUGUGAUGGACUGAUUGUAACCCCCAUUCCUCAUCCCCUUGUGCCACUGUGGGGGUUAGGUAGAGAAUCCGGGAGUGAAGCUGUGCCUGGGAAGAAGCAGGGGGGAAGAAGGUGUUUUAAGACUUGUUUUUAUUUCUCAUUACCCUAGUCUGGUUGACUGGCAAUAAAUUCAGUUAAUUUUCACGAAGUUGAGUCUGUUUUGCCCAUGACAGUAAUUGGUUGAAUGAUCUCUCCCUGUCCUUAUCUCAACCCACGAGCCCUUUGUUAUAUUUUCUCUCCCCUGUCCAGCUGAGGAGGGUGGAGUCAUAGAACGGCUUUGGUAGGCACCUGGCAUCCAGCCAGGUUCAACCCACCACAAUAUCAAACAGAUGAAAGA